rnacentral:tRNA from 1 species
GGGGUUAUAGUUCAGUGAUAGAGCACAUGCUUGGUGUGCACGAGGUCCUAGGUUCAAACCCCAGUGCCUCUG